rfam:Chelonia mydas contig217685, whole genome shotgun sequence.
AUACUCUGGUUUCUCUUCAGAUUGUAUAAAUCUUUCACCUUUACUAAAGAUUUCUGUGGAGAGGAACAUUUAUGAGUUUAUACAGCACACUGAAAUCUUGUUUAUUUUGAAUGAGAUG